CUGUGUGUGCGCGCGGUCUCUGCCAGUGGAGCCCACGCGUCAUACUCUGCCUCGCCGUCACAACCGCCGCACGCAACGGAUUCCGUGGAAAUCGGGCGCCGUGCUGACCGUCCGCAGCUUGGGGGAGCCCAGUACUCCUCUUUCUCAUCGACCAAGUCCCCGCCGCCACCCUCAUGAGGGAAGAGAAGUGGCCGCCACCUGCCAUUUUCGCCCUGCCAUCAGUUCGACCUCGGGGAAGGCGCUCAGGGCGUCGAUGAUAGACCGUGGGAGCACAUCCGAGACUCACCUGCGCUCGGGGAAAUCGUGCAUUGUCGGAAUUUCUCAUCGGUGCGGGCCUCUGCUCCGACAUCCGCCCCACACCAUGGGCGAGGGAACCGCAUCGUCGGCACCGGUAACGAUUUUCCCUAUUGCGUUCAUUAUCGUUCGCGCUACGAAUAUCUCUCUUCGGAUUAGAUUUAGAACGUCGGGCCGUGGAUGGAUGCCUCACCGGAGUAGCUCCGCCACGAGGGGUGAGCCGUGAGCGUCGUCGUGAGAUUCUAUUCCGCCGCUGGGGUCCGGCCGGUUUGGGUGAACCACCCUCAGGCGUUGAUCCGUGCGUGAACGAUUCAGAUUAGACAAGUGCGCUGCUUUACCAGGGAUGUCGGCCGUAAGUCCUUUGAUGAACGGUCGAAAGCCAAUCGUGUGGUAAUUAAACCAGAACCGUAGAUUCGUGAUCCGAGGGGCGCGUUCGGAUCUCAGGUGAUUAAAUCUCGGUCGUCGAUCUGCCCAUCAGCGGUCGAUGAGCGCAUACUGAUUCAUAACCCCGCCGAUGAGAUCGUGACCGUCCACUCAUGAUCUGGCGGCCAAGGUUUCUAGAUAUUCUUCGGCCCGACCCUUUUUACUAAAGAGACCCCGGACUUAAUUACAAUGAACCCACCGUCCUUAGCCGUGAGAGAAUAAUUGAAGUUUAGUCCUGAAAUUUAUAAGAUAACCCCCGUACUUUCCAGUAAUUCUGCGCGCAGUCCAGAGAGCUGGAAAAUAGGAUAAAAUCAAUAUAGAAAAUAAUUUUAGUAUUAAAAUAAUUCUAGAAACUUGUUUAAAUCAUAGUAAAUUCAUUUUAAUUUUUUUUACCCAUUCCAGUUGCUAUAAUCUUGUUUUAAUAUUGUUUAGCACCUGGUAACUCUGUUUUGUCAUGAAACAUAGAUUAAAAUUAUUCAUUUGGUUUAAUCUAUAUCAAUUACUUAAUAACUUCAGAAAAUCAUAACUCGAAAUCUGUAACUCCGAAUUUAGUGAUUCUUGUUGCUACGAUCUUAUUGCGAUGUGUAGAAUAUUAUCAUGCAGUAUAUUCCCUUCUUUGGUGUGAUGAUUAUUUUCCCUUGUACCAUGUUUGUUUGUAUUGUGGCGAGUAGACGAGUAAGUGAUUGAGGAUCCAGGUGUUUAGUAGGUAGAAGUUGCUGAGCAGGAGCUCAUUGAAGGCAAGUUGUGCCCUUGACCACUUUUAUUUACCCAAUAAUAUUCUUUAUAAUCAAUUUGGCAUGCAUAGGUUUAAUUUUGAUGGGACCCAAUAGGUCACCCUAGUUUGGUCAUCUUUACACCUUGUUUACCCUGAAGUUUUGGGUAGUCUUUGCUAUUGCUAUAUAUGGUUUUGGGUGUUGAGAUAACUAUUACACAUGGUCAUUCUUUAUUAUUAUUGUUCUAUUUUGUUCAUGAUGAGACUAUUAUGUUAAUUGGAACAUGGAGCUUAACUUGAGAAACACGUGCCACCACAAGGGUGGAAUGGGACGCCCUUGGAUGACUAAUUAGGAAAGCUAGUGGAGGUCUACCUUACCCGAAAGGGGCAAGGGCAGUAGGGGAGUUGGCGGUGUAGGGAGGUUCUCGGGUUGAUUUUGCUGCGAUGGCGGUCUGACGGGGGUUCCUGCAUUUGUGCUCCCUAGAAACUGUAGCGGGUUUUCUGAAGCUAGUGGAACUUUGUAAAAGCCUCGUAGUUUUACCCUGCCUCGCUUCCCUAGUAGAGGUGUAUGGGGGCUCGUACAACCCUGUGGCAAAUGGGUAACAUGACUUGUGGGUAAAGGGUACAACCUCUGCAGAGUGUAAAACUGGUAUACUAGUCGUGCUCGUGGUCAUGAGCAGAUAAGGACUCUCGCAUGAUUAACUUAUGGAACUAAAUUCAAUUUCUCAUUUGCAUCGCAUUGUGGUUUAUUAUUAAUUUUGAUUUAUUAUUACUCUAGUUUGGUAUCUACUUACAUUUAGUAACUGCUAAUAAAAUUUGACAAACUUAUUAAAAACAAUGCUCAGCUUUACCCCUUAUUUGUUGAUCAGCCUUACACUUCACAUGCGCUCCCACCUUUGGUGAGGUCAUGCACAUUAUUCCCCAAAACUUGUUGAGCUAUGAUCUUUUGUGAGCUCACCCUUGUGAUAUAUAACCCCCACAGGAGAAGAACAGGUGCUCUAGGAGGAGCCUUACAACGAAGAGUAUGAGCUCAUCUAGGUGGUGUCUCCCAGUCAGCUUUAUGACGCCAAGGAUUUAUGUUUAGUUCGCUUUAUUGUUCUCAUUUAUUUUUGUAAGACUCCCGCUAUGUAAUAAUGAUAUUUGUGAUAUUUAUUGUUCUCAUUAUAUGUGAUGUUCUUUUUUGGCGCACAUAUGAGACGCACCCGACUUUAUCCCUUAAAAUCGGGUGUGACACCUAUAGAUCACACACGACCCCGACA
rnacentral:lncRNA from 1 species